rnacentral:rRNA from 1 species
UGGGGAAUAUUGGACAAUGGGGGGAACCCUGAUCCAGCCAUGCCGCGUGUGUGAAGAAGGCCUUAUGGUUGUAAAGCACUUUAAGCGAGGAGGAGGCUCUUUUGGUUAAUACCCAAGAUGAGUGGACGUUACUCGCAGAAUAAGCACCGGCUAACUCUGUGCCAGCAGCCGCGGUAAUACAGAGGGUGCGAGCGUUAAUCGGAUUUACUGGGCGUAAAGCGUGCGUAGGCGGCUUUUUAAGUCGGAUGUGAAAUCCCCGAGCUUAACUUGGGAAUUGCAUUCGAUACUGGGAAGCUAGAGUAUGGGAGAGGAUGGUAGAAUUCCAGGUGUAGCGGUGAAAUGCGUAGAGAUCUGGAGGAAUACCGAUGGCGAAGGCAGCCAUCUGGCCUAAUACUGACGCUGAGGUGCGAAAGCGUGGGGAGCAAACAGG